rnacentral:rRNA from 1 species
GACGAACGCUGGCGGCGUGCUUAACACAUGCAAGUCGAACGGGCCUGUCUUCUUUUUUGGGGGUGGGUUGAGUGGCGAACGGGUGAGUAUCACGUGAGUAACCUGCCCUUCGGUCCUGGAUAACCGCUUGAAAGGGCGGCUAAUACGGGGUGGUCCGGUUGGUCCGCAUGGGCUGGUCGGGAUAGAUUCACUGUUUUUGGUGUUUCGGCGGGGGAUGGGCUCGCGGCCUAUCAGCUUGUUGGUGGGGUGAUGGCCUACCAAGGCGGUGACGGGUAGCCGGCCUGAGAGGGUGGGCGGCCACACUGGGACUGAGAUACGGCCCAGACUCCUGCGGGAGGCAGCAGUGGGGGGUAUUGCACAAUGGGCGGAAGCCUGAUGCAGCGACGUCGCGUGAGGGAUGGAGGCCUUCGGGUUGUGAACCUCUGUUUCCGGUGGUGAAGGCCCUGUCCGUGUGGUGGGGUUGACGGUAGCCGAGGAUGAAGCGCCGGCUAACUACGUG